rnacentral:rRNA from 1 species
GACGAACGCUGGCGGCGUGCCUAACACAUGCAAGUCGAGCGGGGAUUUAAGUGGAAGUUCUUCGGAAUGGAGAUUUAAAUUCUAGCGGCGGACGGGUGAGUAACGCGUGAACAAUCUGUCCCGGACAGGGGGAUAACACUUGGAAACAGGUGCUAAUACCGCAUAAGGCCACGGCCUCGCAUGGGGCUGAGGUAAAAGGAGCAAUCCGGUUCGGGGUGAGUUCGCGUCCGAUUAGCUAGUUGGUGAGGUAACGGCCCACCAAGGCGACGAUCGGUAGCCGGCCUGAGAGGGUGAACGGCCACAUUGGAACUGAGAGACGGUCCAAACUCCUACGGGAGGCAGCAGUGGGGAAUAUUGGGCAAUGGGCGAAAGCCUGACCCAGCAACGCCGCGUGAGGGAAGAAGGUUUUCGGAUUGUAAACCUCUGUCCUAUGGGACGAAGGAAGUGACGGUACCAUAGGAGGAAGCCCCGGCUAACUACGUG